AGGCAGGCAAAAAUGUGUGUCAGUAUGUCUGUAUGUCUGUAUGUCUGACACACACACAGACAGACAUACGGACACACACACAGACAUACUGACACACACAGA